rnacentral:pre_miRNA from 1 species
GUGGUACUCCCUCCGUCUCAAAAUUCUUGUCUAAGAUUUGUCUAAAUACGGAUAUAUCAAGUCACAUUUUAGUAUUAGAUACAUCCGUAUCUAGACAAAUUUAAGACAAGAAUUUUAAGACAGAGGAAGUACUAA